rnacentral:rRNA from 1 species
CAGUCGCCGCGGUAACACGAAGGGGGCUAGCGUUGCUCGGAAUGACUGGGCGUAAAGGGCGCGUAGGCGGUUGACACAGUCAGAUGUGAAAUUCCCGGGCUUAACCUGGGGGCUGCAUUUGAGGCGUUAAGACUAGAGUGUGAGAGAGGGUUGUGGAAUUCCCAGUGUAGAGGUGAAAUUCGUAGAUAUUGGGAAGAACACCGGUGGCGAAGGCGGCAACCUGGUUCAUUACUGACGCUGAGGCGCGAAAGCGUGGGGAGCAAACAGGAUUAGAUACCCGAGUAGUCCCUGUCUCUUAUAC